ensembl:snoRNA
UGGCCGAUGAUGACGUGACCACUGCGCAAUCUGAGUUCUGAGAACCACCUGAUGGAGCGUGUUCUGAAAACCGACUGAGGCCG